GGCAGUGGUGACUCAGUGGUUAAAGGCUCUGGGUUAUUGAUCAGAAGGUCAGGGGUUCAAGCUCCAGCACUGUUG